ensembl:snRNA U2 U2 spliceosomal RNA
AUUGCUUCUCGGCCUUUUGGCUAAGAUCAAGUGUAGUAUCUGUUCGUAACAGUUUAAUAAAUGAGAAAGUAAUCAAAUGAAUAUUUGGGAAUAUCCCCCAAAACAUACAACUUGAU